AGACCUACCUACUAUAUAAGGCUUUUACUCGGAGGCGGAUGACCAUAAAAAUCCCUAACCUUCGUUUUGCUCUUAUCGCAAAGUAGUGUGAAAGCGUCUGCAACUUUCUUUUCCAAAGAUUAGUUCUUCAUAGUUCCGUUUGCGCCUAUCAGUUGUACAUAAAUAAUAUGAGUCGACCUCAUGAUGGGCAUCCUUCGUCCUUUCCUUUCGGAAACCCUUUCCGAAUGAUCUUUCCCAGGGGGUCAUGGUUGUCUCCAAAGCUUGUGGGACUGUUGAAUUCUUUUGAGGAAAGAUUGGCAGAAAGGCUGAAGAAGCUCAACCUGAAAGAUCAGGGAGAUGUCCUUUGCUUGUCCUGGAUGAGAUUGGCAAUGGAGUUGCUCUCUGAAACACACGCUGACAUUAAAGUUCUCAUUACUGACCUUCAGUUCCCUGUCGCUGAUUGGGAUGAGAAAUGGAUGGAUGUGUACUUGGAUAAUAGUGUGAAGUUGCUUGAUAUUUGUCUUGCGUUUAGCUCUGAGCUCUCUCGGAUCAACCAAGCUCAUCUCUUGCUUCAGUGUGUGCUGCAUGUUUUGGACACCACUAGACCCACACCAUCAAGAGAGCAGCUUGCGCGAGCCCAUUUUUCCCUAGGUGAUUGGAUGAAGCAGAUUAGUGUCAGAAACCCAAAGCUGGAGAACUGUUCUACCAUCUUACAUGGUCUCAACGAAUCUCUUCACUUGGCUAAGGUUAAGAACUCAGCAAAGGGAAAGGUUUUGAUGCGUGCAAUGUAUGGGGUCAAGGUUCAGACCAUAUUUGUCUGUAGCAUCUUUGCAGCAGCUUUCUCAGGCUCACCUAGGCCGUUGGUGAAUUUGCAUGUUGCUGAAAAAUUUUUGUGGGCUGAGGCUUUCAACGAUUUGCAGGCUAAUGUAAAUGGAGUGGUUAGGAAUGUAAUUUCAAAUGGAAGUUCUACACCGUUAAAGGAGCUUGAAGCUGUUGAGGUGAGCGUUGGGAGGUUGUCUACCAUGAUUGACUGUGAUGGCAAUGAGCCUGUUGAAGAAGAAACAAUGUUGAGUUCUGUUUCGGAUUUGAGAAAGAGUUCUGAGAGGCUUUCACAAGGGUUGGAUAUUCUUUCAAAGGAAGUAGAGGGCUUCUUUCAGAUUGUUCUGACUGGUCGUGAUGCUUUGCUUGGUAAUUUAAGAGUUGAUGAUUCCGACUCUGACAUCAGAGUAGAAAGCAAUGUUGAACAGCAGGUUGUAAGGUGAUGAAAAGCUACUUCUGGACAUCUAGUUUGUAAGGGUAUCUGAUUGUUCAAAUAUCUACAGAACUUUACGCAACUGCAGUGCCAAAGACAGCCUCAUGAGUGUAGAGUUACAGUGGUCCACGAGAUGUUGAUAAGGAUCAUAACAAAUACGGAUUGGUCUGAGGUUGUUCACUUGUAGUCCCAAUACACAAUGAGGCGGGAUGACUUUAAGUAGCUCACCACAGUUAGAGCUCUCACUAAAUUAGAUGGUGGUUGGAAACUGCUCUGGAAAGAUGAACCUAAACACCAAAAAGGGGGAGCUGCUGGGAAGCUGUUGCUUAAUCGAGCCAGAAAGAUUGCCAGUUCGUGAUAAACCAAUGUUCACUGCUGAAAGAAAGGAAGAUGGUGCAUUUAAGAUUCUCUGAUUUUGAAUAGCUAAACCUAUAAGGCUGUGUUUGGUAUGAAUCCUUAGAAAGGAUUCUGGGUCUAGAACACAUUCUGAAGCGAGAAAAAUGUUGUCUGGAAUGCAUUCCUUUCUGAAUUCUCGGAAUGGGAUUAAGAGCAGGUCUCGCUGGAACAUGCCAAGAAGCCCAUUCUGCAUCCCAACUUUGGUACAUUCUUAUCAUGAUCACGUUCAUAGUCUCUCAACUUGAGUCCCUGGUGGCAGCUCUCUUCCUUGCCAGCUUUCUGAGCAGCUGCAUUUGAAAGUGAAUUUCGUCAUCGUUGUCAAAAAGCUGUGUUGUUGAAGAUGACUCGACCACUUGUCAACUAAAUCCCUAGCAAGCUUCCUGUUGGAUGUCUGUGAUAAAUAAUAAUGCAAUGUUAGUCUUGCAGACCGCAUCCUUCACAGAUGGUUCAAUGAUUUGGGGGUUCAUGUCCCAGUUUGGAUGCCGUUGUAGAGGAGCCCAGUGCUUCUCCAUACCUGGAUGGCUCAAAUGAUUCCAGAAGCAAAGACAACUACCACCCGCAACACUUGUGUUGACAUCAUUGGCCUCUGAGCAGCUGGGAACACAUCUUCCAGUAGGCCUUGUAGCAGUGGAUGGUCUGGCUAGGGCUGAUGUAGUUGGUGGCUUGGUGCAAGGAUCAUAGUGUGUGUCCUUGAAAUGUUAGCUCUUAUAGUAGCUGGUUUGCAUGGGAUGAGCCAUGAGUCCACAGGGUGUCUUGGCCUCUGAUUUUAUGAACAAGUAUAUUCCUUUGCCUUGCUCGAAGCCAGAAAUGAUUGGUUCAUCACUGGCAGCAGGAGUCUAGAGAGCAAGGAUCUCUCUAGCUGUUAUUUGGGACUUUGAUUUUAUGAACAAUUAUAUUCCUUUGCCUUGCCCCAGCCAGAAAUGAUUGGUUCAUCACUGGCAGCAGGAGUCUAGAGAGCAAGGAUCUCUCUAGCUGUUACUUGGGCAUCAAUUUCCUCUCCCCACCUGAUGUUCCAGAGCUUCAUAACCCAAAACCUACACUCCCAAUUAAUGCCAAGCUAAACCCAGUCAAGAAUUCGGAAAUUGGUUGGGCCCAGAGGAUGGGGGAAAGCACGAUGCAAUUGAUGUUGGGCUAAGGAUCUCUAAUAAGUAACGACUGGCAGGAGCUUAUUCAAGGACUCAGGGCUCAGCAAGGCCAAGACACCACAAGUACUGGAUGAGAGGCAUCUUGCAGAGGACUUCCAAGAACUUAAGUGAGAAAUGGCAGCUUCAUGAGUUUGUUGAUCACAGGUUUGGAUUCUAGGUUCAUUUCUACAUCAUAUCCGGUUGCCAUUUCUGAAUCUUCCAUCAGAUGUUCGAUCAGUAGAGCUUUUUCUUUGUUCUUCUUAUCAACAUAACCAAUGGCUGCUCACCACCUGAAAUGCUUUACCUGUUCUGAAGGAUGCAUUCUUUCUCUAGUAUCAGUUCUGCAUUCGAAGAAUGGGAAUGCAUUCUAAGACAUUCUGAAAAACCAAUACCAGAGGCCUUGGAGGAUGUAAGAUUGAUAUCUCCAAAAUGCUGGCUGAGCCUGGCUCUCUGUUUUGGGUACUGGAGAAUGGCUGCUGAAGACGACAUCGCAUUCUGUACCCUGAUGCUUCUGUGAUCUGUAUGGUGUCCAGUAUAGCCACAAGAAGCACAAAGAGCGCUUACAAUUGCGGUAUUGUGGAACAACAAAAAACUGAGCCUUAUCCCAACUUAAUCACGUGGAUCUGUGCAAAACAAAGUAGGUAAAACUGAGGUCCAAACAGAAAAAUUGAAAUGAAGAAAAUAGGACAUGAUGCGAGAAAUGGCAGUGGGAUGAAAGCAAGAUGAAAGAGGUGCAACCCAGUGAGAUAGGAGAAAGUCAGCUAAAUGUGGUCCAAACCUAUUGAUGGCGAAAUUUUCUCCGAGGCCUAAUAUAUUUUCACUUCUGUGUUGGAUCAACGCAGGUAUAUAUGAAUUUGGAUUCAAGUGCAUCUGUAAUAUGUGAAUAUGUAGAGUUGCAUCAAAUUGAGGAUGUGCUUCUGCUUCAGACUUGCAGAACUUUGUGAUGUCUUAACAGUGUUUAAUUAUCUGGAUUUUUUUUUUUCAGAUAAUAAGGUGCGUACGAUGAUGGCAAUUCUUUGUUUUCAAGGUGGUUGGUUAGUUGGCAAAGAUCAACAUCUCUUAUUUC